CCGACUGGGUCUCAUACUGAUACCCACAGAUUAAAAAAAAGUAAUGGAGACAUAAUUUAAACUCCACAGAUACCCAUCAACACAAAAAACCAAAGCAUACAAUAUGUUUUAGUGAAAACAGUUAUUUUGUAAAAAAAUAUAUAUAUUUUUUUUUGUCACUGAAUAAAUAUUCUCAAUUUAACUGAUGGAUUUAGUUUUUUUAAAAUAAGUGGUAGAUAAGGCAAUAUUUAACAGUAUUAAAUGUUUAAUUUUCAUAUUCCUUCAGCCUGGGCGGAACAUACUCU